GAUGAACGCUGGCGGCGUGCCUAAUACAUGCAAGUCGAGCGAACAGACGAGGAGCUUGCUCCUCUGACGUUAGCGGCGGACGGGUGAGUAAAACGUGGAUAACCUACCUAUAAGACUGGGAUAACUUCGGGAAACCGGAGCUAAUACCGGAUACUAUAUUGAACCGCAUGGUUCAAUAGUGAAAGACGGUUUUGCUGUCACUUAUAGAUGGAUCCGCGCCGCAUUAGCUAGUUGGUAAGGUAACGGCUUACCAAGGCGACGAUGCGUAGCCGACCUGAGAGGGUGAUCGGCCACACUGGAACUGAGACACGGUCCAGACUCCUACGUGAGGCAGCAGUAGGGAAUCUUCCGCAAUGGGCGAAAGCCUGACGGAGCAACGCCGCGUGAGUGAUGAAGGUCUGCGGAUCGUAAAACUCUGUUAUUAGGGAAGAACAAAUGUGUAAGUAACUAUGCACGUCUUGACGGUACCUAAUCAGAAAGCCACGGCUAACUACGUG
rnacentral:rRNA from 1 species